rnacentral:rRNA from 1 species
GAUGAACGCUCGCUACAGGCUUAACACAUGCAAGUCGCGGGGCAGCAUGGGGGUUGCUUGCAAUCCCCGAUGGCGACCGGCGCACGGGUGAGUAACGCGUAUCCAACCUGCCCUUCACCACGGGAUAACCCGGCGAAAGUCGGACUAAUACCGUAUGUUGUCCAUUGACGGCAUCCGAUUUGGACGAAAGGUUUGGCGGUGAAGGAUGGGGAUGCGUCCGAUUAGCUGGACGGCGGGGUGACGGCCCACCGUGGCGACGAUCGGUAGGGGUUCUGAGAGGAAGGUCCCCCACACUGGAACUGAGACACGGUCCAGACUCCUACGGGAGGCAGCAGUGAGGAAUAUUGGUCAAUGGGCGUAAGCCUGAACCAGCCAAGUAGCGUGCAGGAUGACGGCCCUAUGGGUUGUAAACCGCUUUUAUGCGGGGAUAAAGUGGCCCACGUGUGGGUUUUUGCAGGUACCGCAUGAAUAAGGACCGGCUAAUUCCGUG